CUUGGCGGCGCUGUCGUCGUAGCUUUAUUCAGCGCCUACGAUCGUCCGACGGCGAGGAUGUCCGCGUCAAAGAUCUCCGUGUUCGGGGAUCCCUGUGUCUUUGUUUUUCCCGUCGCCUCGAGUCCGCGAUAUCUCGAGGAAGAGACCCUUAACGUUUCUACGAACGAUCCAUCCAUCUCGUCGCCCCUCGCCGGGUGUCCUCGUCGUUCUCGUCAUCGCGAGAUUCACCGAAGGAGAAAGGAGGAGGAAGAAGGAGAGGAAGAGGACCACUCUGUUUUACCGUACGAUUUAACCGACUUUCCCGAUGAAAUUUCGCUCCAAUAAUCCAAGCAUCAUCUUUCCUUCUCCGUCGAUUCGUCUUCCUUCUUUUUGCUUGUAAAUUUUCUCUCUCUCUCUCUCUCUCUCUCUCUCUCUCUUCCCCCUCCCUCCCUCUCUCCUCAACGGUUUUUCGCGACGAGACCUUGGUAAGAAAGUCACGUGGUUCGCCGGUUAGUCCAUUGUUUACAGCAGCUUAUACGACCGUUCAAAGUUACGCGUUGUUGUUGAUAGGCGUCGAACGUUCUGUCGACAAGUGUUCGCAACAUGAAUAUUCGUUUGUUCGUCCUUCGUUGAGAAUAAUCAUCGGAAAAAGUGAAAUGCUCGUUUCGUAGAACGUUGAGAAGAACGCGAAGAAGAAUCAAUCGAGAGCGUUGCGCGGUUCGAAAGCCACGGAGGGAUCUUCGUUGCCCGAUAUUUGUACUUUCUAGAAACGAACGGGCUAUCGUCACUUCGUAAAAGUGAUAGAUCUUGGAAAACAUUUAGACGCAAUAAAUCGAGAACGAUCGCCGUACCUUUUUCAGAUAAGAAGUGCAGCACGAGGAGGGAUCAAGAAGGAACUCGUCUUCGCACGACGUUAAAGGCCAAGGCUACUGCUGUUGCUGCUGCUUUCACCGAAGAGCUUCCACUGGAAGAGAGAAAGAGAGAGAGAGAGAGAGAGUGGGAGAGAAAGAGAAAGACGGACGAAGGAAGAGAAUGAGAGAGUGAGAGGAAAGACGACGAGUCGGCACGUGGGCAAGCCAAGAUCAACCGAGGGUUUGUUGUGCGUGGUGGUGAAAGUGAGAAAGAAGAGUAGAAAAAGAGAGACAGAGAGAGAGAGAGAGAGAGAGAGAGAGAGAGGUGUACUUUAUUGGCAAAGACUGCUGGAUUGUUUACUUUGACGACGAACUCGAAAGAAAUUUUUACGAGCAAGACUAGCGUGCGAGGAACUCGGAGAGGAGUAGGAGAAGGAGGAGAGAGAGAGA